rnacentral:misc_RNA from 1 species
GGAAUAUUGGUCAAUGGACGCGAGUCUGAACCAGCCAAGUAGCGUGAAGGAUGACUGCCCUAUGGGUUGUAAACUUCUUUUAUAUGGGAAUAAAGUGGUCCACGUGUGGAUUUUUGUAUGUACCAUAUGAAUAAGGAUCGGCUAACUCCGUGCCAGCAGCCGCGGUAAUACGGAGGAUCCGAGCGUUAUCCGGAUUUAUUGGGUUUAAAGGGAGCGUAGGCGGAUUGUUAAGUCAGUUGUGAAAGUUUGCGGCUCAACCGUAAAAUUGCAGUUGAUACUGGCAGUCUUGAGUGCAGUAGAGGUGGGCGGAAUUCGGGGUGUAGCGGUGAAAUGCUUAGAUAUCACGAAGAACUCCGAUUGCGAAGGCAGCUCACUGGAGUGUAACUGACGCUGAUGCUCGAAAGUGUGGGUAUCAAACAGGA